rnacentral:rRNA from 1 species
AACGAACGCUGGCGGCAUGCCUAACACAUGCCAGUCGAACGAUACCUUCGGUUCUAUUUGCGCACGUGUGCGUAACGCGUGGGAACCUGCCCUUAGGUUCGGAAUAACUCCCCGAAAGGUGUGCUAAUACCGGAUAAUGUCUUCGGACCAAAGAUUUAUCGCCUUUGGAUGGGCCCGCGUUGGAUUAGCUAGUUGGUAGGGUAAAAGCCUACCAAGGCGACGAUCCAUAGCUGGUCUGAGAGGAUGAUCAGCCACACUGGGACUGAGACACGGACCAGACUCCUACGGGAGGCAGCAGUGGGGAAUAUUGGACAAUGGGCGAAAGACUGAUACAGCAAUGCCGCGUGAGUGAUGAAGGCCUUAGGGUUGUAAAGCUCUUUUACCCGGGAUGAUAAUGACAGUACCGGGAGAAUAAGCGCCGGCUAACUCCGUG